rnacentral:tRNA from 1 species
UGGCUCAGUGGUUAAGAGCACUGACUGCUCUUCCAGAUGACCUGGGUUCAAUUCCCAG